UACGGGGGGGGCAAGCGUUGUUCGGAAUUACUGGGCGUAAAGGGCUCGUAGGCGGCCAACUAAGUCAGACGUGAAAUCCCCAGGCUCAACCUGGGAACUGCGUCUGAUACUGGUUGGCUUGAAUCCGGGAGAGGGAUGCAGAAUUCCAGGUGUAGCGGUGAAAUGCGUAGAUAUCUUGAGGAAUACCGGUGGCGAAGGCGGCAUCCUGGACCGGCAUUGACGCUGAGGAGCGAAAGCUAGGGGAGCAAACGGG
rnacentral:rRNA from 1 species